rnacentral:rRNA from 1 species
UACGUAGGGGGCAAGCGUUAUCCGGAUUUACUGGGUGUAAAGGGGGCGCAGACGGCGAUGCAAGCCAGGAGUGAGAGCCCGGGGCCCAACCCCGGGACUGCUCUUGGAACUGCGUGGCUGGAGUGCAGGAGGGGCAGGCGGAAUUCCUGGUGUAGCGGUGAAAUGCGUAGAUAUCAGGAGGAACACCGGUGGCGAAGGCGGCCUGCUGGACUGCAACUGACGUUGAGGCCCGAAAGCGUGGGGAGCAAACAGG